CUUUUUGUUCCCUGUUUUAGUGUUUCAGCGCGGGGCCCCAAAUUAAGAGCCCAAGGUCCCCAGAAAAAGUUAUAGGCCCCAAAAUUUAAGAAUAGAGGCCCCAAAGUGCGGGGCCCCAAAUGAUUUUUUGUUCCUUGUUUUAGCGCGUGAUCCAAACAGUGCGGGACCCUAAAGAGUCCAAAGCCCCCAAAAGCGAAACCCCAAACGAAAAAAACCACGAGGCCCCAAAGUUAAAAAGGUGACGCUCCAAAAGCGGGCCCGCAAACACAAAAUUGUUUGUUCUUUCUUUGGGCAAGGGGCUCCAAAAAGCGAUCGCGAGGCCUGCAGAAAAUCAUAGGGUUCAGAAAAUUUCAAAAUUUGCAGCAAACUGUUAAAUACUAAAAGAUCGCUGAAUUUCGUGGAAGACGGCAGAAGUUUAUAUGGACGCUAUCAUGUUUAGCUAUUUUUCCCCUGUAAAUAAUAAUAAUGUUAAUGGAAUAAACUGGGUUGAAUUUCAGUUCGAUCAAAUUAUUGAUGUAUAAUUCUUUCUUUUUUUGUAAAUACACAGGAAACUUUUCAACGCAUGAAAUACAAAAGGAUAUUUUAAAAUUUACUGAAUUCAGGGUCUAAAAUGCCG